AGCUCAGUCAUGGCUACCACUCUUCUCGUCGGACCUCCGGAGAUCUAUUACUACUAUCAACAACCACCCAAAUUCGUAAUAGAUCCGGAAAUCGACGGUGACGCCGAAUUCUGGAUGGGGACCCACGACUCGGGCCCCUCAACUGUUGUGCCCAACUGCCAAAUUCGGAGUUCUGGUGUGGAGAUGGAGGGCGGCUUCAAGCGGGAUCGCUCCAAUGUAGUGAGUUUGAAGGAUUGAUUCAGCAGAACCCUGUCGUGCUUGGGGAUAAGGUCUUCCAAAAAUGGGGUCCCAAUCUCCCCUUUCUCUUCAAGUAGUGUUUGAAAUCUGUGCGCUUUUUUAACUGAUUUUUAGUCCUUAUCCUCCGAAAAGGAAAUCCACUCACUUGCUGAUGGCAUCAAGAUCUGAUUUGGUACUUUCAGUUUCAAAGACUCUGUCUAUACAAGCUCAUCCAGAUAAGAGUUUAGCUGCAAUCCUACAUAAGCAACGGCCGCAAGUGUCGGCGGAGGCGGAGGAAGGGGCGAAUUUGUGUGGUUGUUGAUAGUAGUAAUAGAUCUCAGGUUUUGAGAAA